rnacentral:rRNA from 1 species
CACGUAGUUAGCCGCAGCUUCUUCUCCGGGUACCGUCAUUAUCGUUCCCGUCGAAAGAGCUUUACACCCCGAAGGGCUUCAUCGCUCACGCGGCGUCGCUGCAUCAGGCUUUCGCCCAUUGUGCAAGAUUCCCCACUGCUGCCUCCCGUAGGAGUCUGGCCCGUGUUUCAGUGCCAGUGUGGCCGUUUGCCCUCUCAGGCCGGCUACCGAUCUUCGCCUUGGUGGGCCGUUACCCCGCAACUAGCUAAUCGGCCGCGGACUCCUCUUUCAGCGCAUUGCUGCUUUCCCUUUACAGGCUUAUGCGGUAUUGUCUCGGUUUCCCAGAGGUAUUCCCCAUAAAAGGUGAUGAUCCAGUGUUACUCACCCGUGCGCCACUUUACUUAGGAUUGCUCCCUUUCUCGUGCGACUUGCAUGUGUUAAGCGCGCCGCCAGCGUUGAUUCUGAGCCAGGAUCAAAACUCU